UACGAAGGGGGCUAGCGUUGUUCGGAAUCACUGGGCGUAAAGCGAGUGUAGGUGGAUAUACAAGCUAGAGGUGAAAGCCCAGGGCUCAACCCUGGAACUGCCUUUAGAACUGUAUAUCUGGAGUAUUGGAGGGGAGUGCGGAAUUCCUAAUGUAGAGGUGAAAUUCGUAGAUAUUAGGAGGAACACCGGUGGCGAAGGCGGCACUCUGGACAAUUACUGACACUAAGACUCGAAAGCGUGGGGAGCAAACAGG
rnacentral:rRNA from 1 species